AACCCACAUACUGUAAGAUCAUGACCUGAGCUGAAGUCGGACACUUAACUGCACCCAGGCACCCCAAUCACAUCUUUAAUAAAGAAAGGGGAAAGGAGCAAAGAAACACUUAAGUUGAUUUUAUUAAAUGUAGGCACUGGAGGAGAGAAUUCAAGUUCCAAAACAAUUUGUUAAAGAGGCUGGAUUUAGUUCUCAUUUAUUUGUGUUCUAAGUAUUUUAAAUUGCAGCCAGAAGAACGGCGACUUUUAAGGAGUUAAAUCCAAAAUAAAAAUAUAUCUGCACCCAUCAUGCACAUUUGGUCUUUUAGCUAAUGUUACAUGAUGACUAUCUUCCUGUUCACGUAUUAGCAUACACUACGAUUCCACUGUGGUCUUUUCUCCAGAAGCUUACUUUCUAGGGACAAAUAUAAAUAGAUGUCAUAUUUGCUUAUUUGGCAUUUUGUGUUCUCUUUUCAAAGACAGGACAUGUAUUUCUAGUUUUCUAAAUUGCUAAUAGUUUCAUCUUGGCUGAAAUUCUGCAUUUUAAUCCCAAAUCAGACCCAAACGGAUAAUUGAAGAAGAAUUUCCAGUUCAGUGGUAGCAACUUGUUUGGAGUAAAUAAAUCACUGGAAAGUCCAUUAUGUUUCCUCAGCUAAGAUUGGAAAGAGUCAGAAUCUAACAUACCACUUGUCUCAGUAGGAACACAAAGAAAUUCAGUUAAGCGUCCCAUGGAUUCAGACAAAUACAUGUCGAAGGAGUCUAAGGGCAAUUCCAGAUUGUUCUACAGAGAAGAUAGGUCUACCCUAAUCUUGAAGUUAGUUUUAGUCAAUCUACAUGAUGUGGGACUGACAUGAAUCAACCUUUUCUAAAUCUUGAAUGAUGAGGAAAAUGAACAAGUUGGGUGGAGCCCAAACAGAAAAUGAACAGAAAAUACAAAGCAUGUACAAGCAUGUUUUAGACUGGUAUCAGUUAAUAAAUAUGAGCUUUAAGGGAUGAGGGGAUAUAUUUGCAGACAAUCUGUGAACGAAGUGGAACAAGAGGUAUGUUAUAAGCGUACAAUAAGCUGCACAGAAUUAGCAUUUUUGUGUUAACAGAAAAAAAAAAGCAGAAUUGCUUGAUUUCCUGCGACUUUUCAGUUCUCUCUCAUCUCUAGAGUAAUGAUCUAUCCACCCCAGAAUUCUGUAUACUAAGGGUGUAGUGUGGGCUUUCUGCUCUGCAGAGUCCCGUACUGGGCUUUCUUCUUGACAUGAUAUUUUGACUAUGUGAAUUCUGACUAAUUGCUAGUACCUCCAGGCCACUGGUUUCCCCCAGCAGCAUCAUAAAAGCUUACCUGCAAAAAUGUUCAUGUAUGAAAAUUUGUGUGAAAGACCCACUGAAAGAUAGUUCUAAAGUGUAAGAAUUCUCUAUGUUAAGAAAUGCAUUUAGAGGUUUCAGUUUUCACAUGGACUUAAAGUGUCUUCGUGCACGGGCCCACCCCACCUCUUCCAGCCUUUGUUCCCUCCUCUUCUUCCUGGGGGUUAAAUUUAUGAUAAUUACAUGUAGCGUUGCAUUCAGAAUUUGAAUAGAUUUCUGCAGGCUCUCCACUGGUUCCUACAGGAUCAGCUCACUCUCACAUUAACACUAUGAUGUUUUCACUGAUCUGUUUGGUGAUUCCAGAUUUAUUACCCUAAUUAUGAGCUAAUGAGCACUGAAUUUUACAAGGAAAUUAGCAUUUACUUGCUUAAGUAGGACAAAUUAUCAGCUUAUCCAAGAUAAAACAUCUCUUGUAUUUUGAGACCCUUUAACUCACCAAAAGAGAUGCUUAUCCUCUAGCCAAGUUAAAUCAGUUUCAGAGAAAGGCACUGACUGCUAUCUUGAAAACAAUUAACUCUACUGCAAUUUUAAGGUUUGCUUGGCAGGGCCCAAAAGUCUUUGGAAUCCUUUUCAAUUAGUGUUCUUUUUUAGUCACUUCUUUUUCUUUUUUUCUUUUUUCUUUUUUUUUUUUUUUUUAACGCUUGUUUAUUUUUGAGAGACAGAGAGACAGAGCACAAGCAGGGGAGGGGCCAGGAGAGAAAGGGAGACAGAAUCUGAAGCAGGCUCCAGGCUCUGAGCUGUCAGCACAGAGCCUGAUGCGGGGCUCAAACUCACAAACCAGGAGAUCAUGAGCUGAGCUGAAGUCCACUGAGCCACCCAGGCGCCCUCUCUUUUAGUCACCUCUACACCUGCACCCACUAUUUCCAAAACAGAAGAAAGCAAAGGAAGCUAUUGACAAGUCUCCUUCCAACCAAAACAGGAGUCUGGGAAUGAUUUAACAUAAAGAGAAGAUAGCACAAAUGCAGACCUUUCACAUUAGAUAAGAUGCUUUCUUCUCUUAACAGAGUACAAAUUACCACAUUUCAAUUAGUUCUUUUGGAGCCAGAAAAGGUACAGGUGCACAUUUUACUUUCAUUUCUCUGUCCUGUGUAUUUUCUCCAACAGAAAAGCAACUUUGGGAAUUCUUUUGGAGUUAGAGGAUUAUCACGUUAAUAAGGAACUUAAAGGCCUUAUUUUAACAUUUACUUCUUUUUUUUCAAGGGUAACCUUUCUAAUAUUAAUCAUCAUGUUGAGGAUUCUGUGAGAAAUGAUACAAAAUAUAAUAGAAGAGGACCAUCAUGGUGUUCCUUAGAGAUUAACUAGAAAAGGGUCAUCUCCAACUUUUGGUUGAAGUCCACCCUGUUUCUACUUCUGAAAGGCAGCAAGUUUUCCUGGAAAGAACAUCAAGGGAACUGGCUUUACUAGAGAAAAUUCAUCAAAACUUCUUCUCAAAGUAUCUGUCAACUGCCAAGAUAUGUAUUUGAGACUCCAAGUUCCCAGUUUGGAUAAGAGUGAUACAGAACUUCAUUAGAGACCCUGUCUUAUUUCUUGGAAACAAAGAAAAGGUAUGUGAAGAGACAGGCUUUCUUUUAGGUAGAGUUUCAAAGUAAAGGUAGUAGAUACAGUAUACUUAUUCAUUGUAUUCUCUUCCACAGUUUGCUUUUUUUUUUAACCUGCCUAGAAGCUUGGUCCUAUGCUACAAUUUCAUCACUAACAAUGCUAAGAGACCUCCAGAUGGAUAUCUAGUUUAGACAGUAUUUUUUCCAGUAUUCAUUUUCUUAUUUUUUUAAAACAGGUUAAUAUUUUGAUAUUAGUGAAACAAACUCAAGUAUAUUUGAGUUAUUUCCUUUAUAGAUUAUAGGAACUAAUUUUCUGGCUUGCUAGUUAGUAUUUAAAAGGAGACUAGCUGGGGGCACCUGGGUGGCUCAGUCAGUUGAGCGUCCGACUUCAGCUCAGGUCACGAUCUCACAGUUCUCAAAUUCGAGCCCCGCAUCUGGCUCUGUGCUGACAGCUCAGAGCCUGGGGCCUGCUUCUGUUUCUGUGUCUCCCCCUCUCCCUGCCCCUAACCCACUUGCAUUCUGUCUGUCUCUCAAAAAUAAAUAAACAUUAAAAAAAAAUUUUUUUUAAAUAAAAGGAGACUAGCUGUACUAAAGGCAAUGCUUGAAACAUAGUAGGUUCUCAGUAAAUACUUCAAAGAAAAUAAAGAUUGAAUAAAAUCAAAUGAACCAAUGAAUUAAUGAACUAAUGAAUAUAUCAAGAGUUGGCCAUAUUUCAAAGGAACUGGCCAAAUACUCUCAACUUACAUAGGUAACAAUUUCACUCUCUGCUUACCUUUUGUACCAUCUCUCCAUCAACAGCAUCCCCAAUAACAGGAUGCAGUCAUACACACAAAGGCAACAAUGUGUUUAUAUGUUUGUCUAGGGGAGUGGGCACCUAAAUUUUUUUUUUUUUUUUUUUUUUUUUUAGGUGUUUAGUCUUAGAUUUACAGGUUGAAAUCCGAGGAAGAAAAAGGAAAUGCUCUUACCCUUCCGGUGCCUCCCCCUUUAGGGAGUAUUAAUUAAAUGAAAGAAUAAAUAAGGGACUACUCCACUCGGGCUAUUUGUUUCCUCCAUCUGAACUCUCUUGACUUUUGUAAAUGAGUGUAAA